CAGCAGCCACGGUAAUACGAGGGGGGCAAGCGUUGUUCGGAAUUAUUGGGCGUAAAGGGUGCGUAGGCGGUUUGGCAAGUCUAGUGUGAAAUCUUCGGGCUCAACUCGAAGUCUGCACUGGAAACUGCCGGGCUUGAGUAUGGGAGAGGUGAGUGGAAUUCCCAGUGUAGAGGUGAAAUUCGUAGAUAUUGGGAAGAACACCGGUGGCGAAGGCGGCUCACUGGACCGACACUGACGCUGAGGCGCGAAAGCGUGGGGAGCAAACAGGAUUAGAUACCCCGGUAGUCCCUGUCUCUUAUAC
rnacentral:rRNA from 1 species